rnacentral:rRNA from 1 species
AUGGCGACGGAACCUGUAGAGUUUCAGGUUGUGGUGCUCAGGGUGUCCAUCCAUUGUGAAGGGUGCAAAAAGAAGGUGAAGAAGGUGCUCCUACAUAUUGAUGGCGUAUACAGAUGUGACAUCGACGCCCGAAGAAACAGGGUGGCGAUCACAGUCUCUCCAAAGAUCGACGCCGGGAUCCUCGUCGCAAGGCUGCGCAAGUCCGGCAAACUGGCGGAGCCUUGGCCGGAGGAGCCCAAGCAGCAGCAGGAGCCGCCUCCUCCUGCAGAGAGCCAAAGCCAAGAAACCAAGAACCAAGCAGAUGAUGCCAGCAAGCCUAACGAGGCCGCCGAGAAGCCCGCCGCCGAGCCAAGCACAGCCCAGCCUCCGGCGCCGGAACCCGAGAAGACCGCCGAAGAGACCCCACUGCCGGCCGAAGAAAGCAAAGGGCCCGACGAGGCCAAGGCGGAGACAGGGCCGCAGCAACAACCCAGCGGGGCGAACGGGAAAGCCAAGCAGCAGCAGCAGCACCAGGAGCAGCAUGAUCAUCAUGAUAAGCCGAUGGACGCCAGGGUGACGAUGGAGUACGACGACGCCCGCGGCAGAGGCGUCUACGGCUACGGGGCCCCCCACCAGUACAUGCCAGCGACACGGCAGCCGCCGGUGCACGUCAUGAGCUACAACGUGGCACGGCCGAUGGCGAGCUCGUCAUACUACGCCGCCGCGCCGACGCCGGCGGCGAUGCCGAUGCCCACUCCCAUGGCGAGGCCAGGGCCGUCGCACGGCGGCUACAUAGACGAGUACGCGCCUCCGAACUACUACAGCCGGCCGGCGCCAUCGGCGUACGAGCCCUACUACUACCCCGAUCCCCAGCCGUCGCCGUACCAGCAUCAGCAUUCUGCGGCCGAGGACUACUACUACGGAGCACCGCCGCCGCCUCCGCAGAGGAGCGCCUUCUCGCCGCCGCGGGAGGCUUACGGCGACAUGUUCAACGACGAGAAUGCCAAUUCUUGCAGCGUGAUGUGA